rnacentral:rRNA from 1 species
UACGUAGGGUGCAAGCGUUAAUCGGAAUUACUGGGCGUAAAGCGUGCGCAGGCGGUUCUAUAAGACAGAUGUGAAAUCCCCGGGCUCAACCUGGGAACUGCAUUUGUGACUGUAGAGCUGGAGUACGGCAGAGGGGGAUGGAAUUCCGCGUGUAGCAGUGAAAUGCGUAGAUAUGCGGAGGAACACCGAUGGCGAAGGCAAUCCCUUGGGCCUGUACUGACGCUCAUGCACGAAAGCGUGGGGAGCAAACAGG